rnacentral:ncRNA from 2 species
CCCUGUUGAGCUUGACUCUA